GGGUGAGUAAUGCGUGACCAACCUGCCCCAUGCUCCAGAAUAGCUCUUGGAAACGGGUGGUAAUGCUGGAUGCUCCAACUUGACGCAUGUCUUGUUGGGAAAGUGUUUAGUGGCAUGGGAUGGGGUCGCGUCCUAUCAGCUUGUAGGCGGGGUAAUGGCCCACCUAGGCUUCGACGGGUAGCCGGCCUGAGAGGGCGGACGGCCACAUUGGGACUGAGAUACGGCCCAGACUCCUACGGGAGGCAGCAGAG
rnacentral:rRNA from 1 species